rnacentral:rRNA from 1 species
AUUGAACGCUGGCGGCAGGCUUAACACAUGCAAGUCGAGCGGGGUGAUGGUGCUUGCACUAUCACUUAGCGGCGGACGGGUGAGUAAUGCUUAGGAAUCUGCCUAUUAGUGGGGGACAACAUCUCGAAAGGGAUGCUAAUACCGCAUACGUCCUACGGGAGAAAGCAGGGGAUCACUUGUGACCUUGCGCUAAUAGAUGAGCCUAAGUCGGAUUAGCGAGUUGGUGGGGUAAAGGCCUACCAAGGCGACGAUCUGUAGCGGGUCUGAGAGGAUGAUCCGCCACACUGGGACUGAGACACGGCCCAGACUCGUACGGGGGGCAGCAGUGGGGAAUAUUGGACAAUGGGGGGAACCCUGAUCCAGCCAUGCCGCGUGUGUGAAGAAGGCCUUAUGGUUGUAAAGCACUUUAAGCGAGGAGGAGGCUCUUUUGGUUAAUACCCAAGAUGAGUGGACGUUACUCGCAGGAUAAGCACCGGCUAACUCUGUGCCAGCCGCCGCAGUAA